UACGGAGGGUGCAAGCGUUAUCCGGAUUUACUGGGUUUAAAGGGUGCGUAGGCGGGCUUUUAAGUCAGCGGUGAAAGCUUCGAGCUUAACUCGGAAAUUGCCGUUGAUACUAUUAGUCUUGAAUUAAGUUGAGGUGGGCGGAAUAUGUCAUGUAGCGGUGAAAUGCUUAGAUAUGACAUAGAACACCGAUUGCGAAGGCAGCUCGCUAAACUUGUAUUGACGCUGAGGCACGAAAGCGUGGGGAUCAAACAGG
rnacentral:rRNA from 1 species